AAUCAACGCUGGCGGCGUGCCUAACGCAUGCAAGUCGAGCGAGAAAAGGGGAGCAAUCCCCUGAGUACAGCGGCGCACGGGUGAGUAACACGUGGGUAACCUGCCCUGGAGUGGGGAAUAACACCGGGAAACCGGUGCUAUACCGCAUACGAUCACAGAGUCUGCGGAUUUUGUGAUGAAAGGAGCAAUUCGCUCUAGGAGGAGCCCGCGGCUGAUUAGCUAGUUGGUGAGGUAAUGGCUCACCAAGGCAACGAUCAGUAUCCGGUCUGAGAGGACGGUCGGACACACUGGAACUGAGACACGGUCCAGACUCCUACGGGAGGCAGCAGUGGGGAAUUUUUGGCAAUGGGGGCAACCCUGACCAAGCAACGCCGCGUGGGUGAUGAAGUCUCUUGGGACGUAAAACCCUUUCGACGGGGACGAAACCGCAAGGUUGACGGUACCCGUAGAAGAAGCCCCGGCUAACUCCGUGCCAGCCGCCGCCGUAA
rnacentral:rRNA from 1 species